CAGUAGCCGCGGUAAUACGUAGGUGGCAAGCGUUGUCCGGAAUUAUUGGGCGUAAAGGGCUCGCAGGCGGUUUCUUAAGUCUGAUGUGAAAGCCCCCGGCUCAACCGGGGAGGGUCAUUGGAAACUGGGAAACUUGAGUGCAGAAGAGGAGAGUGGAAUUCCACGUGUAGCGGUGAAAUGCGUAGAGAUGUGGAGGAACACCAGCGGCGAAGGCGACUCUCUGGUCUGUAACUGACGCUGAGGAGCGAAAGCGUGGGGAGCGAACAGGAUUAGAUACCCCCGUAGUCCCUGUCUCUUAUAC
rnacentral:rRNA from 1 species